rnacentral:tRNA from 1 species
GGGCGGUUAGCUCAGCCUGGUCAGAGCGCUUCGCUGGCAGUGGAGAGGCCCCGAGUUCAAAUCUCGGCCCGUCCA